rnacentral:rRNA from 1 species
AACGCUAGCUACAGGCUUAACACAUGCAAGUCGAGGGGAAACGAUAGAGAAAGCUUGCUUUUUCUAGGCGUCGACCGGCGCACGGGUGAGUAACGCGUAUCCAACCUGCCCAUCACUUGGGAAUAACCUUGCGAAAGUAAGACUAAUACCCAAUGAUAUCCCACGAAGGCAUCCGAAUGGGAUUAAAGAUUUAUCGGUGAUGGAUGGGGAUGCGUCUGAUUAGCUUGUUGGCGGGGUAACGGCCCACCAAGGCUACGAUCAGUAGGGGUUCUGAGAGGAAGGUCCCCCACAUUGGAACUGAGACACGGUCCAAACUCCUACGGGAGGCAGCAGUGAGGAAUAUUGGUCAAUGGACGAGAGUCUGAACCAGCCAAGUAGCGUGCAGGACGACGGCCCUAUGGGUUGUAAACUGCUUUUGUACGGGGAUAAAGUGAGCCACGUGUGGUUUAUUGCAGGUACCGUACGAAUAAGGACCGGCUAAUUCCGUGCCAGCAGCCGCGGUAAUACGGAAGGUCCGGGCGUUAUCCGGAUUUAUUGGGUUUAAAGGGAGCGUAGGCGGGGAGUCAAGUCAGUUGUGAAAAGCCGCGGCCCAACCGUGGUCGUGCAGUUGAAACUGGUUCUCUUGAGUGCGCACGAGGACGGUGGAAUUCGUGGUGUAGCGGUGAAAUGCUUAGAUAUCACGAAGAACUCCGAUUG